GCAACUGUUGCAAAAUCCGAAUAGGGUAGUAGAAAGACAGAACGAAGCAAAUUUUUUCGGCAAAUGCUUAGAAUUCACUUCAAAGGCAACGUUUGUUACGAUCCUCUACGUUAGGUUGGCAAAAAGGUGGAUUGCGUUCUUGGCGAUGUAUGUAUGACCGACUGGUUAUACAAUAACUUCUCCAACGAAAUGAUUUGCACUACAACUAACGGUAUCGGCAAAUUCAAACAAUUUUUUGCUUCUAUCUCUUUUGGUAGUUAAGCUCGUUAACCAAUGCCUUAACAGCUAACUCGUAUAUAUAAGACCACUCAUUCUUUUUAAAGCAAAGAAGCGUGUACCAGACGACGGAAGGGGCGGCAAAGCUUUCACUUUAAGUGACAAAAAGCUACAUCAUGCUAACGGUUUAAAAUACUCAUGUUGGAAAGAAGUGGACACAAUCAUAUGGUUCCGCGCAUACCGAAUGUAAAAGAUGUGGGUGUGGCACACUAGUGAGGUCGAUAUCGGAUCCCCCCACAAGGUACGAAAAAGGGUAUCAUGGGUAAAGCAAAGGUAGAUGGAGAUGGUUAGCUAGACUAAGACUUAGGAGUUAAUGAGGUGGGGGAAAUGAGUACUACGGGGGGGGAAGAGGUAAUGUUGGGUAUGUAAGUAAAGAAUAAUAGUAAUAGUGGCUAUGGAAAGUAAUACAACAUAUACGGUGAGAUGGGAUGAACUGAAUGAAUUAGUAUAAAUUAAAUGAACUUUAGUGAAGUUACAUGAGACGGAAUAUAGUAAAUAAAAAAAAAAUAAAAUAAAAUAAAUUUUGAAAAUAAAUAAAUAAAUUAAACUAUGAUGAAUACAUUUGUUUCCUAAAAAAUAUCUAUUAAUUUAUUUAUUUACAUUUUACAAAGGAAGCAUUGGAAAAUACGAAUGGUGAGAAAUAUGUUUAAAAGAAAAGCUUUCCAUUUGAAUACUUAUUAGUACGAAAACGAAGUUAAUGGAAAAUAAUAAAUAUAAAAAAAAAAAAAAAAAAAAAAGAAUAAUAACAAUUUUCCUCAACUUUGCACAAGUUGUAUGUAUAAUAUACAAAGAAGUUUGGUCCGAAUACCCAUCAUCUAAAUAGCUUCUUAAUAAUCCCGUUCUAUGCCAUCUCCCCUUGACUGUCGAGAUUUUCUUUUGUUUAUUCUUUUUUCAAUCAAGUUUUUAUCUUAUCGCUAGUCUUUGUACACAAGUUUUUCCUUCGCAUCUGCAGUAAGCAGGAACGGAAAGGAAAAAGGGGUAAGGAACAAUUAGGGUUGCUUUGAAAUUUCAAUGCUCAAAUUCCAACAUGCCGUACGGGAAAUGAUCGGGAAAACUUUCCGCUUUUUUAGCAAUUUCAAAAGUAAAAUUUACUACUUGUAACAUAUACGUAUUGAAAUUCCGCCAAACCUUCGUUACCAUUUGUCUAGCCUCCGAAAUCAGUAAACAAGGCAAACCGUCUAUGUUCCUUAGUAAAUAAAAAAAAACUGUCGCUUUGUAAUAUUCUUUUGUUCAUUGGGUAAAGCAUUUGGGGGUCUAUGUAUCUAAAAAGAGUUAAAUUAAUCUAUAAAACAAUUGCUUGGUUGAAAAAAACAUGAUUGUAUUUCUCUAAAUUUACGAAAAAGUUUACCUUUUUUGUCAAUCCGCUAAAUUUACCAACCUUAUGAUAUUAAUAUGAAAACGAAACCUGAAGCGGGUUUCCAAUAAACCUAUCUUUUUGAGAUGAUUGUUAUUUGCACCGACUAUGAAAUAAAUAAACACCAUCAUCUAUUAUGCUAAUUUGUGCAACAUACUUAAUUAACAAGUACUCUACUUAAUUUAAAUCAUCAUGAGAGA